rnacentral:rRNA from 1 species
AUACGUAGGGGGCGAGCGUUGUCCGGAUUCACUGGGCGUAAAGGGUUCGUAGGCGGCAUGUCAAGUCUCACGUCAAAUCCCCGGGCUCAACCCGGGACCGGCAUGGGAUACUGGCAAGCUUGAGGUCGGCAGAGGCGAGCGGAACGUUGCAAGUAGCGGUGAAAUGCAUUGAUAUGCAACGGAACACCAAUGGCGAAGGCAGCUCGCUGGGCCGAUUCUGACGCUGAGGGACGAAAGCCAGGGUAGCGAACGGGAUUAGAUACCCCGGUAGUCCUGGCUGUAAACGAUGGGUACUAGGCGUCGGGGGUAUCGACCCCCUCGGUGCCGCAGCUAACGCGUUAAGUACCCCGCCUGGGGACUACGGCCGCAAGGUUGAA